rnacentral:rRNA from 1 species
UGCAGAAUCCCGUGAACCAUCGAGUCUUUGAACGCAAGUUGCGCCCGAAGCCAUCCGGUUGAGGGCACGUCUGCCUGGGUGUCACGCAGCGUCGCCCCAUCUCCAAUCGGGGAGGGGAGCGGAUGUUGGCCUCCCGGGGGCUCUCACUCGAGCCUCGCGGUUGGCCGAAAAGGAAAGUCGUCGGCUGAGGACGCCGUUGCGAGCUGUGGUUGAAAUUACACUAGAGUCUCGUUGGCUGCGUGCGCUCCUUUGUCGAUGACACCAUGAUGGACCUCGAGGGACCAAUAACGGACCUUCAAAAAUGCGACCCCAGGUCAGGCGGGAACACCCGCUGAGUUUAAGCAUAUCAAUAAGCGGAGGAAAAGAAACUUACCAGGAUUCCCUUAGUAACGGCGAGCGAACCGGGAAAUGCCCAGCUUGAGAAUCGGGCGCCCUCGGCGU